UUCCCACCGUGACUUGAAUGGUUCCUCUCUCCUGUGCUUUUUCUAACUACAUUCCCUUUUUGGGUAGUUAGUGGUGUAGUAAGACUCCAAGUAACUGCUCUUUAAUAUGCUCCAAGCUGGAUGUUCUUCAAGAAGUCUCUACUGUCCACCCUGGAAUCAGGGAAAAAAGUCAUGGGAAAGGAAAACAGACAUCCAGGCAAGGCCUCCGACAUCAUUCUCUCUGGCUGCUUCCCCUGGUUCCACUCUCCACGAGGGAAGUUUGACCCCCAGCUCUGAAGAGGCCAGUCUUGGAGACACAAGGACACACUCAUUUUCCUGGGCACACCUUGGGUACAUGAUGUCCUGCUCAUCUAAGGUCUUCUUUGGAGGUGAGAAAAACCCAGGGCGUCAAGAGCAGAUUUUCUCUUGUAUCUGGUCUUAAGCUGGGUAGAUAAGCAGGAGUCCCUUCCGGGGAUGCCCAGGAGGCUGUGUGAUACAGACAGACCUCAGCUGCCUGCCGCCUUCUGUUUCUGGAGGUUGAGUUUGCUGAGUGCGGCCUAAAGAUCCUGCUGAUGAGCACACAGGUAACAAAACCCAGUGGUGCUUGGCCCUUCCUGAUAGCAGCAUCCUUCGGUGAGUUGCAGCAAGCUGAGGCUUCUGUGAUG